UGUCACAGAAGUUUUACGAAAUCGAUUUAUUUCACCUUUUCCAAAUCGUUACGAUUUGCUUUUGCUUCUUCAGCACUCGUACGUUUUGACUAAUCCGGAAAAAAAAUCAUUUCACAUUUUUGAAAUAAAAAUAUGGUAACUCCAUGAAAAAAAAGUCGUAAACAAAUUAUUGACAAUUAAAAAAGGAGUUUAAAUUGUUUUUUUUAAUAUAAACACCAAAAGUAAAAAUGCCAGGGGCUUCAAUACUUGCUGUAAUGGAUGAAGAAAUAAAUCAGCGGUCUACUGAAAAAAAUCGUCGCCGGACAUUGAGGAACGCAUCAGAUCCUUUAUCUCACUCAAAUGCAGAAUUUAUAACUUAUUAUCGGCUAAAUAAAGAAGCUUUUGUUUUAGUUUUGGAAAAAAUUUCUCCCCACCUCAAACGUUCCAAUAUACCGGCUAUUAUCCAGCUUGCAACAACAAUUAGGUUUUUGGCUACGGGUGCAUUUCAAGGAGUUAUAGGUAGAGAUGUGGAGCUAAGCCUUGGGAGAAGUACAGUUUCUACAAUUAUGUGGAGAGUUAUUAAUGCAAUUGAAGCUGAAAUUUGUCCACAUUGGAUCAAAUUAAGAAUGUCUUCCGAAGAAAAAAGAAAGUCGAAACCAAACAAUUAAUUGUUUUUUUUUUUUGUUUUUCCCCUUUCUUGCUUUUUGGUCUGUCAGUUGUACAUUUCUACACCUUCUUCUUCAACACAUAUGGCAAUAAUUCAACAAUACAAGUCUGCCGUUCAUUUCUGCAUAUUUUUUUGCGUUUUCAUCAUGGAUUAGAAAAAUAAUAGAUUUUUUGUAAAAUAAAUUCCAAAAACAU